rnacentral:miRNA from 1 species
GACCCCGAUCCCCAUCAAUUGGUAUCAGAGCCUAGUUUUUAUUUAGAAAGGAAGCGUGGUGGGCCCAUAACCCACAGGUCCCUGGAUCAAAACCUGGCUCUGAUACCAUUGAUGGGGAUCGGGGUC